CUGUGAAGAGUAUCCUGAAACAGCGGGCCAUGGCCAGAGCCUUCCCCUAGCAGGGCUUUGCUGCAGUCAAACAGAAACCGCACAUCGACACUCGGGGCUGAGAUGACUCCAGGCUUCUCCUCCUCAAACCCUGACACCUGGCCUCCCAACCUCCACCUCUUCUCCACAUCCCUAGAAGUCAGCCAGCCAACCAGCCAGCAGGCCGGCAGCCUAAAUGUGGCCCCCGAGGAACGGCUGUGGAUCUUGAGACCGAGCACACGCCAUGCACUCAGGUUAACCGUCCAAGUUGCUUUGCCAUGGCUGACUUCAGGAAGAGAACUGAGGAACACUAGGCACAGAGUGGUUUCGGCAGAUGGGUCCAACCAUCGUUUGGCAGUGGUAGACGAUGCCCACUUAAGCCCCAAG